GGAUCGAUGAUGACACCCCAAAAAGCAUUCCUUGGAAAAGCUGAACAAAAAUGAGUGAAAACUCUAAACCGUCGUUCUCAUCGUGACGGAGGUCG
rnacentral:snoRNA from 1 species